UCCACCUCCCACAGAAAUCCCAAUCUGCGACGCCACCAAAGCCUAUCCCCCGCGGCAGUUCUCGGCCCGGCUCUGCCCUCCGGCGCCAACUCCACCCUCGGCCGGCGACUUCCCAUUCUCCUAUGUCGGCAUCCUCGCCGGUCGGAGCCCCGCCUGCCGUCGGCGUACUCCCCGUGUCCCGUUGACACACAUCGCCCCUCCCAACUCUCAUCACCACACCGUCCCGCAAGAUGGGAUCCGCCAUGUCAAGAAGGGGGAGAAGGAGCGAAUACAUUAAUCAGGUGCAGGUUGGAAUGACUGGCCAUUAGAUAUUUAAGGAUAUAACAUUAUGGAAAUUUUCAGCAGAUGAUCUUUUGCAAGUGAAAAGAAUACAUCUUUAUAAGGAGCAAUCAAUGUGGGGCCAUUACAAGGAUUUAGAGGACAAAACUAAUUAUAUGGACAGAUUAUAACAGGUUUUAUAUUGGAAAUAAUCUUGAAAAAUGUGCAAGCGAAAUCUUCACAUUUAUCCAGAAGCCAUAUCCAUAAAAGCUGCGAAAGCCGUCAAGUUGAUGUACCAAACUAGCUAUAGAAUUUUUAGAUAGAUUUCCACUGAGAAUUUCCAUUUUUUUCUCAAAUUGGUUUCAACUUUCAGAUAGUUAGAAUUAGAAUUAGAAGUUUAUUUUCUAGUGACAUACACAUUAUUGUAUGAACGUACAGUUCACUUGUAAACUAUCAAUACCCUUUGUAAUAA